AGAGAACGGCGGUGCAGCGGACCUCGACAUCGAGGAGCGCCUUGAGUUCGUCGUCGAGCGCCAUGACCGUCAGCGUCGCUC
rnacentral:sRNA from 1 species